rnacentral:rRNA from 1 species
AGAGUUUGAUCAUGGCUCAGAUUGAACGCUGGCGGCAUGCCUUACACAUGCAAGUCGAACGGUAACGCGGGGCAACCUGGCGACGAGUGGCGAACGGGUGAGUAAUGCAUCGGAACGUGCCCAUUAGUGGGGGAUAGCCCGGCGAAAGCCGGAUUAAUACCGCAUACGACCUACGGGUGAAAGCGGGGGACCGUAAGGCCUCGCGCUAUUGGAGCGGCCGAUGUCAGAUUAGGUAGUUGGUGGGGUAAAGGCCUACCAAGCCUACGAUCUGUAGCUGGUCUGAGAGGACGACCAGCCACACUGGGACUGAGACACGGCCCAGACUCCUACGGGAGGCAGCAGUGGGGAAUUUUGGACAAUGGGCGCAAGCCUGAUCCAGCCAUGCCGCGUGCGGGAAGAAGGCCUUCGGGUUGUAAACCGCUUUUGUCAGGGAAGAAAUCUCCUGGGUUAACACCUCGGGAGGAUGACGGUACC